rnacentral:rRNA from 1 species
UACGGGGGUGGCAAGCGUUGUUCGGAAUUACUGGGCGUAAAGGGCGCGUAGGCGGGGAGGUAAGUCGGGUGUGAAAUCUCGGAGCUUAACUCCGAAACUGCAUUCGAUACUGCCGUGCUUGAGGACUGGAGAGGAGACUGGAAUUUACGGUGUAGCGGUGAAAUGCGUAGAUAUCGUAAGGAAGACCAGUGGCGAAGGCGGGUCUCUGGACAGUUCCUGACGCUGAGGCACGAAGGUCUGGGGAGCAAACGGG